CCGGCACCACAGGGAGAGAGCGGAUCAUCCGCCGCCGAAGGAGCAACCGCCCCGGAAACUCUCAGGCAAAAGGACCAGUGGGCUGAC
rnacentral:ncRNA from 2 species